rnacentral:rRNA from 1 species
CGAGAAUCUUCUGCAAUGGGCGAAAGCCUGACAGAGCGACGCCGCGUGCGGGAUGAAGGCCUUCGGGUUGUAAACCGCUGUCAGUGGGGAGCAAAUUACUAGGGGUUCUCCCCUGGUAUUGAGCGAUCCGCAGAGGAAGCAGAGGCUAAGUUCGUGCCAGCAGCCGCGGUAAGACGAACUCUGCAAACGUUAUUCGGAAUUACUGGGCUUAAAGAGUCCGUAGGCGGCGCGUUAGGUGGGGUGUGAAAUCCCUCGGCCCAACCGAGGAAUUGCGCUCCAAACCGGCGUGCUUGGGGAAGGUAGAGGUGAGCGGAACUGAUGGUGGAGCGGUGAAAUGCGUUGAUAUCAUCAGGAACACCGGAGGCGAAGGCGGCUCACUGGGCCUUUUCUGACGCUGAGGGACGAAAGCUAGGGUAGCGAACGGG